CUACUCAAGCUAAUUACAAUAUACAUAGUUCAAAAAAACUCUUAAAAGAAUGCGAAAGGAAAUAGCAUUUCUUUCUUUUUCCACAUUUGACUUCGGACCAGGUAACUGCAUGCUGUCAAUUCUGUUUGUACGAUGCAGCUAAUAAAAGAAUUGUUUUCCCAGAGCAAAUGUCAAAAAUAUUGAACUCCAGUUAAGAAAUCAUCUGCAGCCAAAUGAUAAAGCUCAAGAUGGGAAAAUGAAGAGGGUACUAAGCUUUGACAAAUGGUUAGGAUCCAAGUCCUCUGGAACUUUUCUGCACCUACUAUUCCAGGAAAGCUUAUAAAAUAUAAAAUUCCUGAAGUUCAUCAGCUAAAUUUGGUACAAUCACAGAUUGAAAGGUAAUCCCAAAACAGGCACAAACUUUGGAUGGGUUUCACCUCCAGGCCAACCAAUGCCAUCUCAAGCAGGGCUCUUAUUCUUCUUCAAGCUGCCUCAGUCCAACAUCAUUGCAUUUUACAGCUUACUACAACUUGCGUCUGGACAACAAUAACUGCAGUAUCUUCGCAUUGAACAAAGUUCGGUUUGAAGAAGAAAUUUUCCCUGCAAGACCAGAUACCAUUAUGCUUUUGAAAAAUUGACAGGAAACAGUUUCUACCAUCUAUGCAAAUCAUGAGCAAAAGUUUACCUUAACUGGUCAAACAGACCAUACUUAGAACCUCCAUUAUGAGCAGCAUUGCAAGAUUUAGGUGUAACCACCCAUCCUAGUAUCCUAUCCCAGGGAAAAAAAUGAUGCAAAGAGUCAGGCCAUAACAAAAAUGUGAAAAUAAUGAUAACAGAAAAACAACUAAGGUUGUUGAAGUACCAGUAGCUAGUACCCUAGCUGUAAUCAGUAAAAAACCGUGAAGUCUCAGGAGCUCCAACACUUCCGAUGUGGAAUCAAGAUUGGCAAGGCCAAGUAACUCCACCCAUUCACAUUAAAUAGCUAGAGGUUGGCUGGCCCUUUUGAGCUUCACUUGCCCACAGCACAGUCUGCGAAGCAGGAUUGAAACAAAGAGAUUUAGUGCAUGUAAAAACUGAAUAAACACCAAGCUCUGCAUCUUACCUAUUAGACCAAGC
rnacentral:lncRNA from 1 species